CAGAAAGUAGUUUAGUAUAAAAUACCAGCUUUGGGAGUUGGAGAUAGAGGUUUGAGUUCUCCCUUUCUGA
rnacentral:tRNA from 1 species